GUAGGGAAUAUUGCGCAAUGGACGAAAGUCUGACGCAGCGACGCCGCGUGAGUGAUGAAGGCCUUAGGGUCGUAAAGCUCUGUUGAAUGGGAAGAAAAAAAUGACGGUACCAUUCGAGGAAGGACCGGCUAACUUCGUGCCAGCAGCCGCGGUAAUACGAGGGGUCCUAGCGUUGUUCGGAAUCAUUGGGCGUAAAGGGUGUGUAGGUGGCCAUGUAAGUCAGGUGUGAAAGCCCCGGGCUCAACCCGGGAAGUGCACUUGAUACUGCGUGGCUUGAGUACCGAAGAGGGUAGUGGAAUUCCAUGUGUAGUGGUGAAAUACGUAGAUAUCUGGAGGAACACCGGUGGCGAAGGCGGCUACCUGGUCGAGUACUGACACUGAGACACGAAAGCAUGGGGAUCAAACAGGAUUAGAUACCCGAGUAGUCC
rnacentral:rRNA from 1 species